rnacentral:rRNA from 1 species
UUCCAGCAGCCCGCGGUAAUACGUAGGUGGCAAGCGUUGUAUCGGGAAUUAUUGAGCGUAAAGCGCACGCAGGCGGUUUCUUCAAGUCUGAUGUGAAAUCCCCGGGCUCAACCGGGGAGGGUCAUUGGAAACUGGGGAACUAGAGUGCAGAAGAGGAGAGUGGAAUUCCACGUGUAGCGGUGAAAUGCGUAGAGAUGUGGAGGAACACCAGUGGCGAAGGCGACUCUCUGGUCUGUAACUGACGCUGAGGCGCGAAAGCGUGGGGAGCGAACAGGAUUAGAUACCCUGGUAGUCCACGCCGUAAACGAUGAGUGCUAAGUGUUAGAGGGUUUGCGCCCUUUAUUGCUGCAGCAAACGCAUUAAUCAAUCCCCUUGGGGAGUACGGUCGCAAGAUUGAACUCCAAAGGAAUUGACGGGGGCCCGCCCAAGCGGUGGACCAUGUGGUUUAAUUGGAAGCAACGGGAAGACCCUUCCCAGUUCUUGCCAUCCUAUGACAACCCUAGAGAUAGGGGUUCCCUUUGGGGGGCAGAGUGCCAGGUGGUCCAUGGUGUUGUUCAGUUCGUGUCGUGAGAUGUUGGGUUAAGUCCCGCAACGAGCCCAACCCUUGCUUUUAGUUGCCAGCAUUCAGCUGGGCACUCUAAGGUGACUGCCGGUGACAAACCGGAGGAAGGUGGGGAUGACGUCAAAUCAUCAUGCCCCUUAUGACCUGGGCUACACACGUGCUACAAUGGGCAGAACAAAGGGCAGCGAAGCCGCGAGGGCAAGCCAAUCUCACAAAUCUGUUCUCAGUUCGGAUCGCAGUCUGCAACUCGACUGCGUGAAGUUGGAAUCGCUAGUAAUCGCGGAUCAGCAUGCCGCGGUGAAUACGUUCCCGGGCCUUGUACACACCGCCCGUCACACCCCGAGAGUUUGUAACACCCGAAGUCGGUGAGGUAACCUUCGGAACCAGCCGCACGAACUUGUACACAAACUGU